ACGCUCCAGCUCUCAAAGUGCCCUCCAUCUUUCUGGCCCUCCAAAUUCUUACUGAGAACACUGGGUUUUACUUGGGGGACAGGUCCUUUAAGGUUGGACUGCAGCACUAACCACUGUGCUUCCUCAGCCCUUGGAGUUCCACCCGGUGCCUCUGCCCGCAGGAGAGGAAGGGGAGUAUGUCCUGGCGCUGAAGCAAGAGCUGCGUGGGGCCAUGAGGCAGCUCCCCUACUUCAUCCGGCCAGCUGUCCCCAAGAGAGAUGUGGAACGUUACUCAGACAAGUAUCAGAUGUCUGGGCCGAUUGACAACGCCAUCGAUUGGAACCCUG
rnacentral:lncRNA from 1 species